CGAAGGGCCCUUGGCUCUACCGCAUGCGAGGCUGGUGCAGUGGCCAAAAAGGCGUUCACUUGCACAGCUAUGGGUAGGAGAAUUGCCAGAGUGGCCCACAGUUCCCAACACGCAGAGAAGCUGGGGGCCGGAAUGACCUGCGGAACCCGUGCAGGGAGUCAGGUUGGUGACCGGAAGGCCGUCUGGGGCACCAAAGCUCUGGAAAGAUGGUCACCGAAAGGUAUCUGACUGGCACAGGAGGAUGGAGGCCUGAGGGCAGGAGGUGUUUUAGUUCUCCUGUCUGCCACAAGCUGGGGUCCUGAAGCAUCCACGGAUACGUGGAUUUCAGGCUGGCUGGCGGUCAGAAGAGCCGUGAAUCCGGUUGUCCAGUGAUGAUGAGUGGGUGGCCGGAAGGGAAGUGGAUGCACCAGCAAGCUGGAAGGACGGUGGCCGAGAGGGUUCUAAAUUCCCCAGCACACGGGCAGGUUGUUAGCCGGGAGAGCUCUGGGCUCCCCAACACGCCAGGCCUGUAAGGUGGCCCGAAGGGAUCUCAUAUCCACAGCAUGUGGGCAGGCUGAAGGCCAGUUAGCCCUCGGCUCCCCAACACACGGGCAGGUUGAGGGGCCAAAUGACCGGCGGAACCCUAGCGGGUGGGCAUGUUUGUGACCCGAAGAUCCCCGCACCAAUGCAGGAAAAGGAUGGUGGCCCAAAGGGUUCUCACUUCCACAGUGCGCUGCGGCCUGGGGCUGGAAAUGCCCCGCUCCCCCGCUGUGAGGCCGGAAGGUGCGUUUGCAUCACCCGCAGCCAGGCGGGUGGCUGUGGGUCCUCCGUGGCCCAGCGUCGUGCGGUCAACAGCACGCUGCUGGAUCGCCGCCGCCAGCCUGGGUCGGUGCCUUCAGCUUCGGAAAAGGUCUAGCAUUUCUGUUUUCCACCGAGAUGAAGAAUUUUCCAACAAGAACUUGAGUUCUUCCAACAUUGUGAGCAAAUGGACAGGAGUGUGGACAGGAGAGAGCAAUGACUGUAGGAGACCAUUGGAUCAUUCUGCAACGAGAUUGAAAAGCAAGAUCAAGCCGUGGGCUCACAUCAGACUUGGAAAUCUCCUUUAAUUCCUAUUUGGAAAAUAUUCAGUUUGCCUAAUGAGUGUGUUUAAAGAAAGGUAUUCCUGCCAGAUUUUCAGAAAUGAAUAACCGACCUAAUUUCUGUUUGGACCAGAAUCAGGGUCCAAUCCCUGUCUGUAGAAAAAUAAGCCUAGAGGAGACGUACAGCAGCCAUCCAUUCGUAUUUCUAUUUCUAAACAGGGCGGUCUCUAAGCUGCUGGGCACCAAGACUCUGCGGUCACAUCCGGAUGUUCUGCUGGGCAAGGCACUGCAUAGCUUGCCCUGUAACUACUGCAAAGCAAGUUUAAUUCCACUCACAGAAAACCCAGCCGUGUUUUAUGUGAGGCCAUUUUGUGGAUAAAGAAAUGGGCUCUUCCUGGAUGCAGUGAGUUUUUGAGGCAGGUGCAGAUGAACAGCCAUCAUCAUACGUAUUGGGGUGUAUCCUGCGUUGAUCUGUUAACUCCCAAUUUGAACUUGGGGUAUUAUAUCAUCUAGUGUGGACUUCCUUUUAAUUAGGGUUUUGGUCUUAUUUGGAAUCAAGGACUCUUUUAAGACUAAUAAAAGCAAUAUGCACAUAAAUGCA
rnacentral:lncRNA from 1 species